UACGAAGGGGGCUAGCGUUGCUCGGAAUCACUGGGCGUAAAGCGCACGUAGGCGGAUUGCUAAGUCAGGGGUGAAAUCCUGGAGCUCAACUCCAGAACUGCCUUCGAUACUGGCGAUCUAGAGUCCGGGAGAGGUGAGUGGAACUGCGAGUGUAGAGGUGAAAUUCGUAGAUAUUCGCAAGAACACCAGUGGCGAAGGCGGCUCACUGGCCCGGUACUGACGCUGAGGUGCGAAAGCGUGGGGAGCAAACAGG
rnacentral:rRNA from 1 species